GGAGGCAGCAGAGCUCGCUUCGCCGGCUGUCUAUUGAUCAGUGGAGAGGUUGGCAGACUUAAAAGAUCAGUGUAGAGACCGGUGGAGAGCAGAGGGAGGGAUGGAGAGGAGGAUACCGGGGGUCCUGUAGGAUGCAGCACCACAGAUAAGAGAAGAAGAGAAAGGGGAAAAAAAGGUGGAGAAAGAAAGACAGACACAAGUGUGUGAAGAGAUAGAUGAGGGAGAAUUAAAGAGGCAGAUCACGGAGUCUGGGGUUGCCCCUGGGGGGGACAGUCUGGAGGAAGCCCGCCGGACUCCCAUCAGACUCUCCAACAACAGAUGGACACGCCAGGAAAGGUGGUGGAAGCGUCCAUCUGUGGCAGUCAAAAUGGUCGCCGCAACAGACGGCCAUCUUGGUUUCGGUGGCUGGAAAAGCUCAAGAAGGCAAAGAGGGAGACGAGGAGAGAAAUGGCUGUUUAGCCGCAUGCAGCACAACCUGUAAAUGCUCUUUUCUAAUCUGUCUUUUAUUUUUAUUGAUUUACUGUUUAGAUACUCCGACAAUCUUUGAGCUUCUGUCUGGUUACAAUGAAGACGGUUUGCCAUCUUGUCAUGUUUGAGGGACUGUCAUUGCAUUAGAGCUGUAUCGCAGCAUACACAUUUUAAUUAAGAGUAUUCUUAGUCACUUCCUCACCUGCAUCACAUCAGCAGUGGCCGACACUGAUGACACUUUCCCUGUGCGUGUGAAGUUUUUGUUUACCGCAUUGGCUGAAAAUGUGGCAGCCGUGCGGCCAUUUUGGCUCCCGAGCCGCAGGGCCCCCCGGCGGUUGCUCAGUAGUCAGUGUAGAUCCUGUGGGGCUGGCAGCAGCUACAUCUGGCUACUGGGUCUCCGCUGGCAGGCACGUCACUCGGAGCACGUUUCUGCAGCUCUUUUUGUACGUUUUUUUCAAAUGCGCUGUAAUAUUUUUUUUUUUCCAGACGCAUUUGGAAUCCCUUUUUUCCCCAAACGGCGGUUUCUAUUUGAAGUCCACACACUUUCACUUGUGGUUUUUCUACCACGCGGCUUUUGAAUUUCAAAGAAAAUGUCUUGAAUGCACACCCACUGCGAAGAAGAAAGCCUUCGACGCAGCUAAUCCUCGACUGCACGGGUAGUUCAGAGGACAGAGUGAUUUAUAUGUGAAAUAAAAAUGACAUUUUGAGACACUGGGUAAGUUCUGGACCUGGCAUACAGUGUAGGAUUCUGUGUGUGUCAGUCUACAGCUACAUUGUCUGCUGGGUUUCAGGCCUUCACUCUAAACAUCAAUGCCUCCGUUUGUAUUAUUCCUGUAAAUGACACCAAAGGGUUAUGAAACUAUUGUGGUGCGUUUGAGAAACCGAAGAGCAUGGAUAAUUUGACAACGUUGUGUUUAUUGACUCAUCAUAAAACAUUCUUCAAACAAUAAAACAAUUUUAAAUGUC